UUUAUAACAAUGGCUUUAGUGGCGGACUGGUGAGUAACGCGUGAGCAACCUGCCUAUCAGAGGGGAACAACAGUUAGAAAUGACUGCUAAUACCGCAUAUGCCCAAGUAACGCAUGUUACAAUGGGGAAAGGAGCAAUCCGCUGAUAGAUGGGCUCGCGUCUGAUUAGAUAGUUGGUGGGGUAACGGCCUACCAAGUCGACGAUCAGUAGCCGGACUGAGAGGUUGAACGGCCACAUUGGGACUGAGAUACGGCCCAGACUCCUACGGGAGGCAGCAGUCGGGAAUAUUGCGCAAUGGAGGAAACUCUGACGCAGUGACGCCGCGUGCAGGAAGAAGGUUUUCGGAUUGUAAACUGCUUUAGACAAGGAAGAAUCAAGACAGUACUUGUAGAAUAAGCUCCGGCUAACUACGUGCC
rnacentral:rRNA from 1 species